rnacentral:pre_miRNA from 1 species
AGGAGCAACCUCAGUGGCGGGGCCAGCUCUGGAGCCCUGGAUUCAGCUCCUGCAGUAACUACAGAGCUCUCGGUCUGCCGGGCCCAGAUGCUCCGGGGGCGG